AUCAGCCCUAAGCUGUGCAGCCCAGUAGCUCUGAGAACCCCUGUUCCAGUCAGGAGCUGGUACCCUACCUCUGGAGCAGAUUCUUCCAGCUGCAGUGUUAUGGUUUCAGUCUAGACUGUUUCCCAUAGAGCCCUCAUCCCCCCGGACCCACACAGAGAUUCUCCAAAGACAGCAAGCCCGGGAGAGCAUCCUGUGCAGACUCCAGAGCGGGUCGUGUGGCAGCCACCCUUCUUGUUGUUUCCUGGAGCUGCUAGGAGUUGAAAGAGAUGGGAACUGGAGGGACUUCCUGCUCCUGCUAAGCGGAUCACAGGGCACCCUUUUUGCCUAGGCGGUGAAAGGGAAGGAAAGCCACAAUAUGAGGAAGUUUGCGGGGCAUCAGAAGGGUCACCUCGGAAUCCUUCUGCAGGAAAGAGGGAAUGGUGUCACUGCCGAUGACAGGUCCUCCCCCCAGCCCCGCGCCCACGCCCCCGGUGGCAGAGGAUACUCAUACAGUUGAAGUUGCGUCCGUAUACGACACCGGCUCUGGAAGGCGUGGGAAAUGUGUCAGUUUCGUCUGUCUCUUCCCUCAGAACGGGAUGUCACGUGUGCCAGCUCAUGGCCUGGCUCCAUAGGACAGGUGUGUCCUGUGUGCUUGGAGUCGAGGGGUAUGAGAAUCUCAAGGCCACACAGCUACAGAGCAGCAGCUUGGAGUCAUCACGCUUUGAUGGCAAGCAACGCGAAGCAUGAAGUCAGCUCACUGUGGAGGGAAUUCACGGGAGGUGCUUGCUGGACCGUGUGGAAUUUUAGAAGCAGGCCCCCUCUUGGGGCUUGAGGGAUUGGAAAAGGCUUAUCCACGUCACACCACUCCGAUGAAUAAACCACCAAAGGCCCUCUGUCUUUUCAGCACUGUUUUCCUCAGAUACAAGGACGAUUUGUGAUGCAGACCCCCAGACAUGAGCCUGCAUUCUGAAGAGCUCACUGGUUAGCUAUGUAAAUGGCAUCCCUUAACUAGAGAGACACACAGUGCUCUGAGUGGCAGGCUCACAGGGAAGCAGUCAUCCUGCCUCCUUCCACCAAGUUGGAAUGCUACCCCUAAAGGAGAUACAAUGCAUGCUGGGAAACACAAGAACAGUGAACUUGCUCCAUCUAGCCCGGACUCUUCCUGGUUGGUUAGGAUGGGAUCUGUCCCCUAGAGGUUUAUGUGUUAGGCCCUUGGUCUUCUUUGUGGUGCUGUCAAGAGGUGGUGGGACAUAUAAGAGGUGGGGCCUCGUAGGAAGGGGUUAAUGGAGACACUGCCCUCAGGAAGAUUUAAUGCAGUUCUCAUGAGACCCUAGUGGGGUCUUACCAGACAGUUGCCACAAAAUGAGCUGGCCAUUUGCUUUCUGUGACUUCCUGUCUCACCAUGUGAUCUCUCCCUCUGACACGUGUUCUCAGCACUGUGAUGUCAUCUACCAUGAGGACUUACUUCACCAGAGCCAAGCAGAAGCCUGUGGAUGCCUUGAUCCUCUAGAGCUGUGAGCUAAAUCCUUUAAUAAAGUACCCAGCCUCGGGUAUUUCAUUAUAGUAA